UGCCCUUGUAGCUCAGUGGUAGAGCACUCCCUUGGUAAGGGAGAGGUCCCGGGUUCAAAUCCCGGCGAGGGCAU
rnacentral:tRNA from 7 species